rnacentral:misc_RNA from 1 species
AAGUCGUAACAAGGUUUCCGUAGGUGAACCUGCGGAAGGAUCAUUAACACGUAUCCACGUUUAUUAACCAACUUACAUACUCUGAACUUGUGCUCCCUGAGAAGUUGACUUCGAUGCUGUCUGUUGAGGCUGUAGUGGGUUGUUGAGCGAAAGCACUUCAACACGUUUUGAUCAGACUACCAAUCCUUUGAGAUUGAAGCUAGAGACUUACUAAUCAGGCUUAAUCCUUUCACGUAAUCUUCCAACCACUUUCGAACAUACGUGAGAGACCCAUACCAACCUAUUUCACCAUAUUUUACCUAUUAUGGCUAAUUGUAUUCUGUCCCAUGGUUAACUCCAUGCAUACUGAAUAUUUAAGAUUUAUCUUAACUAAGCACAACUCUUAGCAAUGGAUAUCUUGGUUCUC